ensembl:ncRNA T02E9.18 ncRNA
GAAAAAAGCUUGACGCCUUUUUUCUACAGUAGCUACCGUCUGCGACUCUCCACGUGCCGUGCUAUCGAUCUAAUUAAGGGGUUUGGUAAGCAAGCGCGCGCGGACAUCUUACAGUCGAACAUUGAAUUAGGCUGGCAAUUGACACCUGUCUCCAUCUUCCCAAGAGACAUUAAACCAGUAGAGAAUGUAAAAAUGAAGAUGA